rnacentral:lncRNA from 1 species
UCACUUGCUCUUAUUAAUUGCCUUAUCACCGAUCGUCUCUAGAGCAAGUGACAAAGGGUUUGAUGGUUGGUAUCCGAGACCCAAGUUCGAAUCCUAAUUGAUUCACAUAUUCAGCUAAGUUUAUUUCUAAAUGAAAUAAACGAAGCAGGUAGCGUGUUACCUAUCUCUCAAAAAAAAAAAUAAUUGCCUUAGUCCAACUAAAUAAAAUAUUCUAUGCA